GCCUGGGUGGCUCAGUCGGUUGAGCGUCCGACUUCGGCUCAGGUCAUGAUCUCGCGGUCCGUGAGUUCAAGUCCCAUGUCAGGCU
rnacentral:tRNA from 1 species